CAUCUGGUGCUUCUUUCCACUUCUCUCAGUGUUUGUUAUUUGUGGCCCUAAUUGCUGCUGAUCUUCUGGGAAAGGCAGUCUGGAGUUCAUAUGCCAUGUCUGUGUUCCUCCUGCCAUCUUCAUGGGGGCCAGAGAUUGGGUCCUUCGCUGUUCCAGAAGCUGGACACAGAACAUCAAAGAGGCACAAACAAUGCUACUGGGGGACUUAGAGAUCUGUGGAACACAGAGGGAAAUGAACAGCAGGAUAUCGGGUACAACAAAGUUAUGAGACAAUGAAUGUAACAGAGCGCUUUAAGUCCACAGAGCAUGAAAUGCAGAGGUUAAGGGGGCCCAGGUGAAAUUAUGGAUGACAGCAGAAAUCCAUUUCUACUAGUUGGAAUACAACUCAAAGUAAAUGUUCUGCUGGUGGUAAGUCAAUAGCAUUAUCUUCAUAUAGGAAUACUUUUUUUUUUUAGUGUUGUGG
rnacentral:lncRNA from 1 species